rnacentral:rRNA from 1 species
UACGGAGGGCGCGAGCGUUAACCGGAAUUACUGGGCGUAAAGCGCGCGUAGGCUGUUGUGUAAGUUGGGGGGUGAAAUCCCACGGCUCAACCGUGGAACAGCCCUUGAUACUGCGCGACUUGAAUCCGGGAGAGGGUGGCGGAAUUCCAGGUGUAGGAGUGAAAUCCGUAGAUAUCUGGAGGAACAUCAGUGGCGAAGGCGGCCACCUGGACCGGUAUUGACGCUGAGGCGCGAAAGCGUGGGGAGCAAACAGG